rnacentral:misc_RNA from 1 species
GAAAUGCGAUACGUCAUGCGAAUUGCAGAAACUUGUGAGUCAUCAAAAUUUUGAACGCAACUUGCACUUCCCUCUGGGGAGUAUGUCUGUUGGAGUGUCUGUUCAUCCCCACUUCUCCGCCCUUGCGGGUGCGAGAGAGCGCCGGCCACUUGCUGCACUCCAGACUUGUUCUGGCGAUGGGCAAGCGAGCCUAGAUGAGACACCACCGAUCAACCGAACUCGCCCCUGCUUCGGGCCCAGCUGUAACAGGCUGGGUCUCAACAGCUCGGUCGACGCGACGUGAAAGCUUGCUCUCGCAGCAGCUCCCAUAACGCGUCUUCACUCCAAACGAGCCCAGCAAGCCCCGGCACCCAAAGAGUUCAUCCGACCGGACCUCCAAUCAGGCAAGAUUACCCGCUGA